rnacentral:piRNA from 1 species
UCUGUUCCAUCAAUAAAUACA